AAGCAGCUGUUUAACGGUUUAAGAUUUGUCCCGUUGCAUGAUCGAGAUGGAAGGGGGACUCCAAGUACCUGAAAUCUUCGUGGGCCACGGGAAAUGAUCCUAUUUCACUUCAUCGGUCGGCAAAUUUUGAUUUAUUUGCGACAAAAAAAUUGGUCGUCUGUCUAUCGCAACGAUGUAUAGUGACAGGCAAAACAAUUCAAUGCUCUUCCACUAGAUGGCAGAAGGUACAAUCAACCUGUAUAUCCACCUCAUUACAGCAGAAUAUACGAUUUCAGACAAAAAAUGUGCAUACGAUGAGAAAAUGAUUUUAACUAUCCAGAACCAUCGUAGAUAAACUUGUGUUUGAUAUCUGCGACUGUACCUUGCGUUUAGUAUCUGAGGUGAGUUAAAGAUAUCUUGAUGUGGGAUUAUGAUCAG